rnacentral:rRNA from 1 species
CCUACGGGGGGCAGCAGUGAGGAAUAUUGGUCAAUGGCCGGGAGGCUGAACCAGCCAAGUCGCGUGAGGGAAGACGGCCCUACGGGUUGUAAACCUCUUUUGUCAGGGAGCAAGGUGCAGGUCGGGACCUGCUGUGAGAGUACCUGAAGAAAAAGCAUCGGCUAACUCCGUGCCAGCAGCCGCGGUAAUACGGAGGAUGCGAGCGUUAUCCGGAUUUAUUGGGUUUAAAGGGUGCGCAGGCGGAGGCACAAGUCAGCGGUAAAAUCGCGGGGCUCAACCCCGCUCCGCCGUUGAAACUGGGUGCCUUGAGUGCGCGAAGGGUAGGCGGAAUGCGUGGUGUAGCGGUGAAAUGCAUAGAUAUCACGCAGAACUCCGAUCGCGAAGGCAGCCUACCGGCGCGCAACUGACGCUCAUGCACGAAAGCGUGGGUAUCGAACAGGAUUAGAUACCCCAGUAGUC